CUGAAGCACUAGAGUACGGUAGGGGUAGAGGGAAUUUCCAGUGUAGCGGUGAAAUGCGUAGAGAUGGGAAAGAACACCAGUGGCGAAGGCGCUCUACUGGACCGUAACUGACACUCAGGGACGAAAGCUAGGGUAGCGAAAGGGAUUAGAUACCCCUGUAGUCCUAGCUGUAAACGAUGGAUACUAGGCGUUGCUUGUAUCGACCCGAGCAGUGCCGUAGCCAACGCGUUAAGUAUCCCGCCUGGGGAGUACGCACGCAAGUGUGAAACUCAAAGGAAUUGACGGGGGCCCGCACAAGCGGUGGAGUAUGUGGUUUAAUUCGAUGCAACGCGAAGAACCUUACCAGGGCUUGACAUCCCGCGAAUCAGAGUGAAAGCUCUGAGUGCCUUCGGGAACGCGGAGACAGGUGGUGCAUGGCUGUCGUCAGCUCGUGUCGUGAGAUGUUGGGUUAAGUCCCGCAACGAGCGCAACCCUCGUCCUUAGUUGCCAGCAUUAAGUUGGGCACUUUAGGGAGACUGCCGGUGACAAACCGGAGGAAGGUGGGGAUGACGUCAAGUCAGCAUGCCCCUUACGCUCUGGGCUACACACGUACUACAAUGGUUGGGACAAAGGGCAGCAAGCUCGCGAGAGUAAGCGAAUCUCAGCAAACCCAGCCUCAGUUCAGAUUGCAGGCUGCAACUCGCCUGCAUGAAGGAGGAAUCGCUAGUAAUCGCAGGUCAGCAUACUGCGGUGAAUCCGUUCCCGGGCCUUGUACACACCGCCCGUCACACCAUGGAAGCUGGCCACGCCCGAAGUCGUUACCCUAACCGAUAAGGAGGGGGAUGCCGAAGGCAGGGCUGGUGACUGGGGUGAAGUCGUAACAAGGUAGCCGUACCGGAAGGUGUGGCUGGAUCACCUCCUUAAAG
rnacentral:rRNA from 1 species